AUUGAACGCUGGCGGCAGGCCUAACACAUGCAAGUCGAACGAGUGGCGGACGGGUGAGUAAUGUCUGGGAAACUGCCUGAUGGAGGGGGAUAACGUCCGGAAACGGGCGCUAAUACCGCAUACUAUCAGAUGAGCCUAGGUCGGAUUAGCUAGUUGGUGGGGGAAAGACCUACCAAUGCGACGAUCCGUAACUGGUCUGAGAGGAUAAGCAGUCACACUGGAACUGAGAUACGGUCCAGACUCCUACGGGAGGCAGCAGUGGGAAAUAUUGGACAAUGGGCGAAAGCCUUAUCCAGCCAUGCCGCGUGUGUGAAGAAGGUCUUCGGAUUGUAAAGUACUUUCAGCGGGGAGGCGUUACCCGCAGAAGAAGCACCGGCUAACUCCGUGCCAGCAGCCGCGGUAAUAC
rnacentral:rRNA from 1 species